rnacentral:rRNA from 1 species
GUCUACGCUGUCAAAGAUGAGUGCUAAUGUUGGAAGAUCUUCUGGCAUAUAGCUAACGCGUUAAGCACUCCGCCUGGGAAGUACGAUCGCAAGAUUGGAACUCAAAGGAAUUGACGGGAGUCUACACAAGUGGUGGAGCAUGUGGUUUAAAUGCGAUAAUACGCGCAAAAACCUUCCAGUUCUUGAAUAUAAUGUUGUUGUGAAUUAAUAUUUUCAAACGUUUAUAAAAAUGUUAACACAUUUUAAUAAUAAAAUUAUA